UUAACUCAAAUUUGUAUGGAGUUGGAACGUUUGCCUACGUUUGCCGCCAGGGUCGCCAACUUCAUACAAAUACGAGUUA
rnacentral:pre_miRNA from 1 species